rnacentral:rRNA from 1 species
UGCCAGACUCCUACGGGAGGCAGCAGUGGGGAAUAUUGCACAAUGGGGGGAACCCUGAUGCAGCGACGCCGCGUGAGUGAAGAAGUAUUUCGGUAUGUAAAGCUCUAUCAGCAGGGAAGAAAAUGACGGUACCUGACUAAGAAGCCCCGACUAACUACGUGCCAGCAGCCGCGGUAAUACGUAGGGGGCAAGCGUUAUCCGGAUUUACUGGGUGUAAAGGGAGCGUAGACGGCAGAGCAAGUCUGAAGUGAAAGCCCGGGGCCCAACCCCGGGACUGCUCUGGAAACUGCGUCGCUGGAGUACGGGAGGGGCAGGCGGAAUUCCUGGUGUAGCGGUGAAAUGCGUAGAUAUCAGGAGGAACACCGGCGGCGAAGGCGGCCUGCCGGACCGUGACUGACGUUGAGGCUCGAGAGCGUGGGGAGCAAACAGGAUUAGAUACCCGGGUA